CCUACGGGCGACUGCAGUGGGGAAUAUUGCACAAUGGGGGCAACCCUGAUGCAGCAACGCCGCGUGAGUGAAGAAGUAUUUCGGUUUGUAAAGCUCUAUCAGCAGGGAAGAGAAUGACGGUACCUGACUAGGAAGCCCCGGCUAACUACGUGCCAGCAGCCGCGGUAAUACGUAGGGGGCGAGCGUUAUCCGGAUUUACUGGGUGUAAAGGGAGCGUAGACGGUUUUGCAAGUCAGAAGUGAAAGCCCGGGGCUUAACCGGGGAACGGCUUUGGAAACUGUGGAACUGGAGUGCAGGAGAGGCAAGCGGAAUUCCUAGUGUAGCGGUGAAAUGCGUAGAUAUUAGGAGGAACACCAGUGGCGAAGGCGGCUUGCUGGACAGUAACUGACGUUGAGGCUCGAAAGCGUGGGGAGCAAACAGGAUUAGAUACCCGAGUAGUC
rnacentral:rRNA from 1 species